GUAACAUCAACUGGAGGACCGAACCGACUAAUGUUGAAAAAUUAGCGGAUGACUUGUGGCUAGGGGUGAAAGGCCAAUCAAACUCGGAGAUAGCUGGUUCUCCCCGAAAGCUAUUUAGGUAGCGCCUCGGACGAAUACUACUGGGGGUAGAGCACUGUUAAGGCUAGGGGGUCAUCCCGACUUACCAACCCUUUGCAAACUCCGAAUACCAGUAAGUACUAUCCGGGAGACACACGGCGGGUGCUAACGUCCGUCGUGGAGAGGGAAACAACCCAGACCGCCAGCUAAGGUCCCAAAGUAUUGCUAAGUGGGAAACGAUGUGGGAAGGCUCAGACAGCUAGGAUGUUGGCUUAGAAGCAGCCAUCAUUUAAAGAAAGCGUAAUAGCUCACUAGUCGAGUCGGCCUGCGCGGAAGAUGUAACGGGGCUAAGCAAUACACCGAAGCUGCGGCAAUGUCUUUUAGACAUUGGGUAGGGGAGCGUUCUGUAAGCCGUUGAAGGUGAAUCGUAAGGUUUGCUGGAGGUAUCAGAAGUGCGAAUGCUGACAUGAGUAACGACAAAGGGGGUGAAAAACCUCCUCGCCGGAAGACCAAGGGUUCCUGUCCAACGUUAAUCGGGGCAGGGUGAGUCGACCCCUAAGGUGAGGCCGAAAGGCGUAAUCGAUGGGAAACGGGUUAAUAUUCCCGUACUUCUGACUAUUGCGAUGGGGGGACGGAGAAGGCUAGGUGGGCCAGGCGACGGUUGUCCUGGUUCAAGUGCGUAGGCUUGAGAGUUAGGUAAAUCCGGCUCUCUCUAAGGCUGAGACACGACGUCGAGCUACUACGGUAGUGAAGUCAUUGAUGCCAUGCUUCCAGGAAAAGCCUCUAAGCUUCAGAUAGUCAGGAAUCGUACCCCAAACCGACACAGGUGGUCGGGUAGAGAAUACCAAGGCGCUUGAGAGAACUCGGGUGAAGGAACUAGGCAAAAUGGUACCGUAACUUCGGGAGAAGGUACGCUCUUGAUGGUGAAGUCCCUCGCGGAUGGAGCUGACGAGAGUCGCAGAUACCAGGUGGCUGCAACUGUUUAUUAAAAACACAGCACUGUGCAAAAUCGCAAGAUGACGUAUACGGUGUGACGCCUGCCCGGUGCCGGAAGGUUAAUUGAUGGGGUUAGCGCAAGCGAAGCUCUUGAUCGAAGCCCCGGUAAACGGCGGCCGUAACUAUAACGGUCCUAAGGUAGCGAAAUUCCUUGUCGGGUAAGUUCCGACCUGCACGAAUGGCGUAAUGAUGGCCACGCUGUCUCCACCCGAGACUCAGUGAAAUUGAAAUCGCUGUGAAGAUGCAGUGUACCCGCGGCUAGACGGAAAGACCCCGUGAACCUUUACUACAGCUUGGCACUGAACAUUGAACCUACAUGUGUAGGAUAGGUGGGAGGCUAUGAAGACGUGACGCCAGUUGCGUUGGAGCCGUCCUUGAAAUACCACCCUUGUAUGU
rnacentral:rRNA from 1 species